AUUGAACGCUGGCGGCGUGCUUAACACAUGCAAGUCGUGCGGUAACAGGCGUAGCAAUACGUGCUGACGAGCGGCGAACGGGUGCGUAAUACAUGGGAAUCUGCCCUUUAGUGGGGAAUAACCCGGCGAAAGCCGGGCUAAUGCCGCAUAAGAUCUUCGGAUGAAAGCGGGGGAUCGUAAGACCUCGCGCUGAUGGAUGAGCCCAUGUCGGAUUAGCUAGNGGUGAGGUAACGGCUCACCAAGGCGACGAUCCGUAGCUGGUCUGAGAGGACGGCCAGCCACACUGGGACUGAGACACGGCCCAGACUCCUACGGGAGGCAGCAGUGGGGAAUAUUGGACAAUGGGGGAAACCCUGAUCCAGCGACGCCGCGUGUGUGAAGAAGGCCUGCGGGUUGUAAAGCAC
rnacentral:rRNA from 1 species